UGGCCUAGUGGUUAAGGCUAUGGAUCGCCAAUCCGCAGACGGCGGGUUCGAUUCCCGU
rnacentral:tRNA from 1 species